rnacentral:rRNA from 1 species
GGAAUAUUGGACAAUGGGGGCAACCCUGAUCCAGCCAUGCCGCGUGAGUGAAGAAGGCCCUCGGGUUGCAAAGCUCUUUUGUCCGGAAAGAAAAGCUUCGGGUUAAUACCCCGGGGUUCUGACGGUACCGGAAGAAUAAGCACCGGCUAACUUCGUGCCAGCAGCCGCGGUAAUACGAAGGGUGCAAGCGUUACUCGGAAUUACUGGGCGUAAAGCGUGCGUAGGUGGUUGUUUAAGUCUGAUGUGAAAGCCCUGGGCUCAACCUGGGAAUGGCAUUGGAAACUGGGCAGCUAGAGUGCGGUAGAGGGUAGUGGAAUUCCCGGUGUAGCAGUGAAAUGCGUAGAGAUCGGGAGGAACAUCUGUGGCGAAGGCGACUGCCUGGACCAGCACUGACACUGAGGCACGAAAGCGUGGGGAGCAAACA